CCUCCUUCAAGCGAGCUUGAAGGAUUAUUUCCUUGAAAAGAAAGAUCAUGAGAGCUUUUAAGAAGCUCUCUUGAUGGAGGGGAGCGGCAGACGGGUGAGUAACGCGUGGGAAUCUACCCAUCCCUACGGAACAACUCCGGGAAACUGGAGCUAAUACCGUAUACGCCCUUCGGGGGAAAGAUUUAUCGGGGAUGGAUGAGCCCGCGUUGGAUUAGCUAGUUGGUGGGGUAAAGGCCUACCAAGGCGACGAUCCAUAGCUGGUCUGAGAGGAUGAUCAGCCACAUUGGGACUGAGACACGGCCCAAACUCCUACGGGAGGCAGCAGUGGGGAAUAUUGGACAAUGGGCGCAAGCCUGAUCCAGCCAUGCCGCGUGAGUGAUGAAGGCCUUAGGGUUGUAAAGCUCUUUCACCGGAGAAGAUAAUGACGGUAUCCGGAGAAGAAGCCCCGGCUAACUUCGUGCCAGCAGCCGCGGUAAUACGAAGGGGGCUAGCGUUGUUCGGAAUUACUGGGCGUAAAGCGCACGUAGGCGGAUAUUUAAGUCAGGGGUGAAAUCCCAGAGCUCAACUCUGGAACUGCCUUUGAUACUGGGUAUCUUGAGUAUGGAAGAGGUAAGUGGAAUUGCGAGUGUAGAGGUGAAAUUCGUAGAUAUUCGCAGGAACACCAGUGGCGAAGGCGGCUUACUGGUCCAUUACUGACGCUG
rnacentral:rRNA from 1 species